UACGUAGGGUGCGAGCGUUAAUCGGAAUUACUGGGCGUAAAGCGUGCGCAGGCGGUUUUGUAAGCCAGAUGUGAAAUCCCCGGGCUUAACCUGGGAAUGGCAUUUGGGACUGCAAGGCUUGAGUGCGGCAGAGGAGACUGGAAUUCCUGGUGUAGCAGUGAAAUGCGUAGAUAUCAGGAGGAACACCAAUGGCGAAGGCAGCUCGCUGGGACGGUACUGACGCUGAGACGCGAAAGCGUGGGGAGCAAACAGG
rnacentral:rRNA from 1 species